UGUUUAAUUUUGAAGGGAGCUGAGCUGGCUUUAUUACAUUUUUUUCUCUUUUUUUCUUUCUCUUCUGGAAUAAAAUCCUAACGCUCUUCCUCGGACCAUCUUCCUCUGUGUCCAUUAUUGCCAUCUGCGUGGGACCAUUCCUGGCGGUCAGGCAUGUAUACUGUGGGUUCCAGCAGAUUCCCCGGACCACCAGUGGACGACGGCACGGAGCCCCGCACAGAAGCAGUGUGAUUCCGUGAGCGUCCACCUGACAGCUGAGCCGCCCACUCAGUGACUAACAGGUUCCUAGUCCUCCUGGGGGUUCACAUCCCACCCCCAGGGCUCCAAGCAAGAACUGAGCCGCGGAGGACCUUGGACACCAUCUUCAGGCCUCCACCAGGACGCUGGGCGUGGAGGCUCCUGCACACCCUGCAAUCGCAGGCGCCCACUGGUGCCUCCUUCCUUGCAAUACAGCCACAAACCCUGAUUGACCUUGAAUGCCCCAGAGCCUCCUGCCGCAGGGCCUUUGCACUUGAUUCCCUGACCCCCCAAACACACACAGCUGUCCCCUUGCUCCUCAGGCCCCUCCUCAUCACUGAGGCCUUGGCCUGGCUGUGACCACGCCCACUGCCAGUGCUUGUCAACAUGUCACUGUGUGGUUUUCUUCACAGCAAGUGUCAUUUUUGCAAUCUGUGGUCAGUGCUGUCCCUGGACCUUCGCUCCCCGAGACGGAGGCAUCUGUGGAUGGAGCGGGCGGCAGCCCUGCCUGCUUCUCUCUUUACAGCCAAGGGAGUUUCCAGAGGUCGGGGAAGUGCUGGUGCUGGCUGGCUCCACUCCAGGGCCCAGGACACCACGCUGGCAUCCUGUGGCCCAGGGGGUCUCUUCCCAGGUCCCUGGGCCUGUACUGGGCUCCCACUGCUGCUUGCCUUAGUGCCCACAAAACACAAGCCUCCUUGGGAGGGGCUCUGCUGGGGCUUAUUUUGGGGCCUCCAGAAAAGGAAUCUCAUCCUACUUUUUGGCACUGCUGUGGAGGGAGAGUGGGAGGACCCGGGAGGUCCACGGCCCAGUGAGGCGGCCACCCCUGAGUCACCCCCGCCUCCCAGGAGCUGGCUGUCAUCGCCGGGGGAGCUUGGAGGCCGGCCUCCUGGCUCACAUGACAGCACUCCAACCUUCGCCCGGAUUCCCUCUGUGUGGCCUCCAGUCCUGGCCACCAGACCUUCCCGCUGCAGCCUGCGGGCAGGCUGGGAUGGGUCUCACCACCUCCCCUGCCCCUUGCCCAGGGCCAUCCUCUUGGAGUGGCCUGGAGAUGCCCUGAGCAAACCCAGCUGCACCGUGUUAACCACUGCAAACACCUGCCCACAUGCGGAGCAGCGUGGCCGGCCCCUUAUCCGUGAGGUCUGCCUUUGAUAAAAUCCAUCUUUACAAACACGGCUUCACCCAAACCCACGAUGGUGUGUUGCAAAGGGAGAAAGUGACCACCGCGUCCUGGGCAAACCGAGUCUAAACGAUGAACACCUUUCGCGGAGAUUGCUGCUGGGGUGUUGUGACUGGCCCCCCGCCCGCUCUCUGUCCCUUCGGCGUGUGACCUGAAGCGUGUGGUGGGCCGCACAUGGGGAGCGGGGUCCUCUGAGAUGGGCGUCAGAGGUGACGUCAGCAGCCAGAGGUUCUUUCCGAAGCGAAGUUCUCCAAAGAGCUGUAGCCUUGCGUUCAUGUAAGACUCAGUCUGCAGAAUGCUUCAAGGUGCGUGCGUGGUUCCUGAAUGGAGUCUCUUAUCAUGAGAACCCUGCUUUAUGGGGUUGUCAAAAAUCAUCUAACAAACAAAACACUUCUUUAAAACUCGGGCUUGCCGCGCAGUUAGACAUCAAAGUGCGUCUUUAGAUUGGGGUUGAUUUUAUGGCCUGGGCCCUUUGAAUGCCCCGCAGUUAAGCGAGAACAAAGGGGCAGGUGUGUGAGCUUCCUAACGGCCGCGCUCCGCGGAUCCCAGGGCAGGCUCGUCUCCACAGAGUUUUUCCCGGGAGGGAGGCCAGAACCUGCUCCCUGCUGUCACUGUCCGUUGGCUGGUUGUGAGAAGCCACCUCAGUCCACUGGAACAGGACCAGUUCUGUGAUGAAGCAGGACUUGGCCCGGGCUGACCCUGGGCUUUGAAGAGCGAGUCACCGGGGUAUUUCUGGACGAUCGGUGUUGGUGAGAUGGAAAACAGGCCAAGGAGUCUUCAGCCCACCUGUGUCUCAGAGUCUGCUCCCCGGGAAACAGAACCUCUCUUUUUCUCUCGCGGUGGUAGAAUACGCACCACAUCCAUUUUACCAUUUUAACCAUCUGUCAGCUGCAGCUUAGUGACAUGGGUCAGUCUCCCCGAGGACCAACCACAGACACCGUCCAUCUCCAGAUGGCUCCAUCUUCCCAAACUCCCCCUCCGCUCAACCCAGAGCCCCGUCGCCCCAGCCCUGGACCCACCGUCCUACUUUCUGUGAGCUGGACUUCAGUCAGCUGACCACAGUGACAUGGGACUGUGAGGCAUUCGGCCUGCUGUGACUGGCUUGUUCCACCUAACGGGGUGCCUUUGAGCUCAUCCGUGCGUCUCCACUGGGCUCCUCUUAGGGCUGAAGAGCUGGUCACGUUUGCUUGGUCAUUGGUUGGCCAGUCCACAUUUGGAUAAAAGCAGAACCUUUUCUGCUACCGGCUCACGUGUGGGCAAGA